GCUGGAUAGUUCAGUCUGUAGAGCAUGAGACUCUUAGGUGGAAUCUACACACAUAUAAAAAGCACUGUGAAAAUGCUUUUUUUUUAAAAGUUUUGAAAAAGACAUUGGUUUUUGCAUAGCUCACUGUUGCCAUCUAGUGUCAUGUUUGCAUAUUGCACUUUGCAACACAUUUAAAAUGUUUUAUUUGCAGCUGUAUAGUUGAGUCCUUAAUCUCAGGGUCGUGGGUUUGAGGCCCACAUUGGGCA